AUAUUAGAAGAAUGUUUUUCCAUUUCCUUUGAUGUCCUUUACAAGUUGCAUCUCAUUUCCUG
ensembl:misc_RNA